rnacentral:rRNA from 1 species
GAUGAACGCUGGCGGCGUGCCUAAUACAUGCAAGUCGAGCGAACGGACGAGAAGCUUGCUUUUCUGAUGUUAGCGGCGGACGGGUGAGUAACACGUGGAUAACCUACCUAUAAGACUGGGAUAACUUCGGGAAACCGGAGCUAAUACCGGAUAAUAUUUUGAACCGCAUGGUUCAAAAGUGAAAGACGGUCUUGCUGUCACUUAUAGAUGGAUCCGCGCUGCAUUAGCUAGUUGGUAAGGUAACGGCUUACCAAGGCAACGAUGCGUAGCCGACCUGAGAGGGUGAUCGGCCACACUGGAACUGAGACACGGUCCAGACUCCUACGGGAGGCAGCAGUAGGGAAUCUUCCGCAAUGGGCGAAAGCCUGACGGAGCAACGCCGCGUGAGUGAUGAAGGUCUUCGGAUCGUAAAACUCUGUUAUUAGGGAAGAACAUAUGUGUAAGUAACUGUGCACAUCUUGACGGUACCUAAUCAGAAAGCCACGGCUAACUACGUGCCAGCAGCCGCGGUAAUACGUAGGUGGCAAGCGUUAUCCGGAAUUAUUGGGCGUAAAGCGCGCGUAGGCGGUUUUUUAAGUCUGAUGUGAAAGCCCACGGCUCAACCGUGGAGGGUCAUUGGAAACUGGAAAACUUGAGUGCAGAAGAGGAAAGUGGAAUUCCAUGUGUAGCGGUGAAAUGCGCAGAGAUGUGGAGGAACACCAGUGGCGAAGGCGACUUUCUGGUCUGUAACUGACGCUGAUGUGCGAAAGCGUGGGGAUCAAACAGGAUUAGGUACCCUGGUAGUCCACGCCGUAAACGAUGAGUGCUAAGUGUUAGGGGGUUUCCGCCCCUUAGUGCUGCAGCUAACGCAUUAAGCACUCCGCCUGGGGAGUACGACCGCAAGGUUGAAACUCAAAGGAAUUGACGGGGGCCCGCACAAGCGGUGGAGCAUGUGGUUUAAUUCGAAGCAACGCGAAGAACCUUACCAAAUCUUGACAUCCUUUGACAACUCUAGAGAUAGAGCCUUCCCCUUCGGGGGACAAAGUGACAGGUGGUGCAUGGUUGUCGUCAGCUCGUGUCGUGAGAUGUUGGGUUAAGUCCCGCAACGAGCGCAACCCUUAAGCUUAGUUGCCAUCAUUAAGUUGGGCACUCUAAGUUGACUGCCGGUGACAAACCGGAGGAAGGUGGGGAUGACGUCAAAUCAUCAUGCCCCUUAUGAUUUGGGCUACACACGUGCUACAAUGGACAAUACAAAGGGCAGCGAAACCGCGAGGUCAAGCAAAUCCCAUAAAGUUGUUCUCAGUUCGGAUUGUAGUCUGCAACUCGACUACAUGAAGCUGGAAUCGCUAGUAAUCGUAGAUCAGCAUGCUACGGUGAAUACGUUCCCGGGUCU